GACGAACGCUGGCGGCGUGCCUAAUACAUGCAAGUAGAACGCACAGUUUAUACCGUAGCUUGCUCCACCAUAGACUGUGAGUUGCGAACGGGUGAGUAACGCGUAGGUAACCUGCCUGGUAGCGGGGGAUAACUAUUGGAAACGAUAGCUAAUACCGCAUAAUAUUAAUUAUUGCAUGAUAAUUAAUUGAAAGGUGCAAUUGCACCACUACCAGAUGGACCUGCGUUGUAUUAGCUAGUAGGUGAGGUAACGGCUCACCUAGGCGACGAUACAUAGCCGACCUGAGAGGGUGAUCGGCCACACUGGGACUGAGACACGGCCCAGACUCCUACGGGAGGCAGCAGUAGGGAAGCUUCGGCAAUGGACGAAAGUCUGACCGAGCAACGCCGCGUGAGUGAAGAAGGUUUUCGGAUCGUAAAGCUCUGUUGUAAGAGAAGAAUGGGUGUGAGAGUGGAAAGUUCACACUGUGACGGUAUCUUACCAGAAAGGGACGGCUAACUACGUG
rnacentral:rRNA from 1 species